rnacentral:rRNA from 1 species
GACGAACGCUGGCGGCGUGCUUAACACAUGCAAGUCGAACGGAAAGGCCCUGCUUUUGUGGGGUGCUCGAGUGGCGAACGGGUGAGUAACACGUGAGUAACCUGCCCUUGACUUUGGGAUAACUUCAGGAAACUGGGGCUAAUACCGGAUAGGAGCUCCUGCUGCAUGGUGGGGGUUGGAAAGUUUCGGCGGUUGGGGAUGGACUCGCGGCUUAUCAGCUUGUUGGUGGGGUAGUGGCUUACCAAGGCUUUGACGGGUAGCCGGCCUGAGAGGGUGACCGGCCACAUUGGGACUGAGAUACGGCCCAGACUCCUACGGGAGGCAGCAGUGGGGAAUAUUGCACAAUGGGCGGAAGCCUGAUGCAGCAACGCCGCGUGCGGGAUGACGGCCUUCGGGUUGUAAACCGCUUUCGCCUGUGACGAAGCGUGAGUGACGGUAAUGGGUAAAGAAGCACCGGCUAACUACGUGCCAGCAGCCGCGGUGAUACGUAGGGUGCGAGCGUUGUCCGGAUUUAUUGGGCGUAAAGGGCUCGUAGGUGGUUGAUCGCGUCGGAAGUGUAAUCUUGGGGCUUAACCCUGAGCGUGCUUUCGAUACGGGUUGACUUGAGGAAGGUAGGGGAGAGUGGAAUUCCUGGUGGAGCGGUGGAAUGCGCAGAUAUCAGGAGGAACACCAGUGGCGAAGGCGGUUCUCUGGGCCUUUCCUGACGCUGAGGAGCGAAAGCGUGGGGAGCGAACAGGCUUAGAUACCCUGGUAGUCCACGCUGUAAACGGUGGGUACUAGGUGUGGGGUCCAUUCCACGGGUUCCGUGCCGUAGCUAACGCUUUAAGUACCCCGCCUGGGGAGUACGGCCGCAAGGCUAAAACUCAAAGGAAUUGACGGGGCCCCGCACAAGCGGCGGAGCAUGCGGAUUAAUUCGAUGCAACGCGUAGAACCUUACCUGGGUUUGACAUGGAUCGGGAGUGCUCAGAGAUGGGUGUGCCUCUUUUGGGGUCGGUUCACAGGUGGUGCAUGGCUGUCGUCAGCUCGUGUCGUGAGAUGUUGGGUUAAGUCCCGCAACGAGCGCAACCCUUGUUCACUGUUGCCAGCACGUUAUGGUGGGGACUCAGUGGAGACCGCCGGGGUCAACUCGGAGGAAGGUGGGGAUGACGUCAAGUCAUCAUGCCCCUUAUGUCCAGGGCUUCACGCAUGCUACAAUGGCUGGUACAGAGAGUGGCGAGCCUGUGAGGGUGAGCGAAUCUCGGAAAGCCGGUCUCAGUUCGGAUUGGGGUCUGCAACUCGACCUCAUGAAGUCGGAGUCGCUAGUAAUCGCAGAUCAGCAACGCUGCGGCGAAUACGUUCCCGGG